rnacentral:rRNA from 1 species
UACGGAGGGGGCGAGCGUUAUUCGGAAUUAUUGGGCGUAAAGGGCGCGUAGGCGGCCCGGUAAGUCAAAGGUGAAAUCCCUCGGCUCAACUGAGGAACUGCCUUUGAAACUGUCGGGCUUGAGGCCGGGAGGGGGUAGCGGAAUUCCCAGUGUAGCGGUGAAAUGCGUAGAUAUCAGGAAGAACACCCGUGGCGAAAGCGGCUCUCUGGAACGGUACUGACGCUGAGACGCGAAAGCGUGGGGAGCGAACAGG